rnacentral:lncRNA from 1 species
AUCAAGCCCGAGUCUCAAACACACUGCUUUCCUUCUCCUGUCGUCGUCUCCAUCGAUGGAGAGCUUCAUCGGCUACCGAUAGCUCAUCCCUUCAAAUCCGAACAACCAUCCUAACGACAAGAACCACACCGCAAAUUUCACCCAAUCCAAACAAAACAAGACCAAGAAAAAAACCCCAAAAGAGAACGGGGACCUAAACCGACAGCGUAGAGCUAUGUGAGCCCCUACCCUCCGGAGCCAAAACCGGCAAAAACGGAGCAAAGAAAGCCUCCCCUUUCCGGGAACUAGAACCGGCGGCGGCGAAGCUAAGGAAGCCUCCACCUCCCGGAGAACAAACCGACGUCGACGGAUCUGUGAUAGCCUCCAUCUCCCAGACCACUGACACAUGCAAGCCUCUCUUCUCACGCCGUGAGCCUCCACGCGACCGCGUCUUCCCUCCACGCAAGGAAACCACCGUUGAAGGAUGGUUCCAAUCCAGAGCUCCGACAAAGCGAUCGGUGAGACGCGACGAAGAAGAGGCGAAAAGAAACCUCUUUGAAAAAGAAUAAGGUUUCCGGCGACGGCACGGACGCUCACGCGCCGGCCGUACGCCGGAGAAAACUCUUAGAUCUCCUUUCUCUCUCCUUUCUCUCUUAGAUCUCCUUUCUCUCUCCUAACAAGUUUUGUAUACAC